GUGUGUGUGUGUGACUGUAAUAGACUGGGGAUAGUGUGGUCAAAAAUAUCCAGGCAACACUCAGGUGUGAGGAACCACUGCAGGUUUAUUCACGAUACCGGGAGCAGGUCACUAGCAACAUCAUGUUCCAGUAACACUACUCAAAGUUCUCUAGGGCGAAGCCCCAUCUUAUGCAUGUUAAUUACAUUGGUAAUACAAAUCACAUUAGUACAAUGGUCUUUUCCAAAAAUCCUCAUACAUGCAGAAAUACAACAAUACAUAUACACUUCUUGGACAUAGCAUGUGAUCCGUGCGCCAUACGCAAGUUAUGUGGCUACUCCAAGUAAGUAGAUAAUUGGUCAAUACAAUACAUCCUUCAGCAUUCUCUUGCCAUAGUCUAGUUCCUGUCGAGAUAUUCCUAAUAUUACUGCCUCAGGCAGAAUACCCUUAACUCGUGACAAAGGGGGUCGCAUGACCUUUAUUAGAAAAUCAUGACAUGGAGAGAGCAAAUGACAGACAAAGCAAAGUUGAUGCACAGUAUUGAAUGUAUAGAAAGCAUAUACAGAAUAUAAAAAAAAUGUUAGCAAUCCAAAAUUUCU